AAUUCGCCCUUCAUGGAGGGUGAGAAUCCCGUCCGGUUGAUCAUUUGCGUUUUACGAUACGCUUUCUAAGGGUCAAGUUGUUUGGGAUUGCAGCUUAAAAUGGGAGAUAAAUUUCUCCUAAGGCUAAAUAACGGCGAGAGACCGAUAGCGAACAAGUACCGUGAGGGAAAGAUGAAAAGAACUUUGAAAAGAGAGUUAAACAGUACGUGAAAUUGUUGAAAGGGAAACGAUUGAAGCCAGUCGUACCUUCGGGUAAUCAGCCUUUCGGGUGCGAUUCUGUGGAGUUUGAGGAGCUUUAAC
rnacentral:rRNA from 1 species